ACAAUCUUCAUCUUUUUGCUUUACAGUAUCAUUUCAUUGACUCACUUCCUAUCUUUUUUGUUGUAAAAAUCUAUUUAAAAAAAAAAGAAUCAAGAAACUGCAUAAUUAAUUAACCCUAGUAAUGUUCAUCCUCUCAUGGUCCUAGAGUGCACUAAACCUUCUUCUAUCCUCUUAUUUUUUGGACGUAGCAACUUGGACAAAAACCCACCUUUCUUCUUCUUAUUAUUAUCAUCACUGGCCCUGUCUUUAUUGCCUCUGGUUCUUGGAACAAAAACCAACGAUCUACUCUUAGUGAGCACAUUCUUGCCACUUAACAAGAAAGAUAAAGAUCCCUUCCCUUGCACUCCAUAUCGAUAACGAUGCACUGGAGACGAAGAAGAAGAACAAGAAGAAGAGGAAUACGAAGAUAAUGAAGAAGAAGAAGAAACGGAAUCCAUUGCAGUAGAAGAAGAGGUAGUACGUGAGCUGCAGGAAUUUGAAAGCUGAAAGAGCUUUUCACUCAAACAAAUGGAGCAAACGCCAGGAGACUGCUUGUGUUUUGGGUGCUUCUUGCACCUGCCGUCAGGCCUAGAGCGAGGCAUAGCUUCCUUGGAUCUCUUCAGGUAUCACAUAAACGGGGGAUAUAAAUAGGAAGGCAGGGUGUGUGUUUUCCAUGAUAGUUCAUGGGAGGUUUCUUUGGGACUUCUUG
rnacentral:misc_RNA from 1 species